GACAGAGGGUGCAAACGUUGUUCGGAAUUACUGGGCGUAAAGCACGUGUAGGCUGCUCUGCAAGUCGGGUGUGAAAGCCCCGGGCUCAACCUGGGAAGUGCACUCGAAACUGCAGAGCUCGAGUCCUGGAGAGGAAGGCGGAAUUCCCGGUGUAGAGGUGAAAUGCGUAGAUAUCGAGAGGAACACCGGUGGCGAAGGCGGCCUUCUGGACAGUGACUGACGCUGAGACGCGAAAGCGUGGGGAGCAAACAGG
rnacentral:rRNA from 1 species